rnacentral:rRNA from 1 species
UCGAGAAUCUUUCGCAAUGGGCGAAAGCCUGACGAAGCGACGCCGCGUGAGCGAUGAAGAUCUUCGGAUUGUAAAGCUCUGUCACAUGGGACGAACCGUAUGUAUGUUAAUAGCGUAUGUACCUGACGGUACCAUGAGAGGAAGCCCCGGCUAACUUCGUGCCAGCAGCCGCGGUAAUACGAAGGGGGCAAGCGUUGUUCGGAUUUAUUGGGCGUAAAGGGCGUCUAGGUGGUUAAUUAAGUCGGAUGUGAAAUCCUUCAGCUCAACUGAAGAACUGCCUCCGAUACUGAUUAGCUUGAGUAUAGGAGAAGGGAGUGGAAUUCUCAGUGUAGCGGUGAAAUGCGUAGAUAUUGAGAAGAACACCGGUGGCGAAGGCGGCUCUCUAGCCUAAAACUGACACUAAAGCGCGAAAGCCAGGGGAGCGAACG